rnacentral:misc_RNA from 1 species
AACGCACCUUGCGCCCCUUGGCAUUCCGAGGGGCACACCCGUUUGAGUGUCGUGAAAUUCUCAAAACCCUUUUCUUUCGAAGAGGAUUUUGGACUUGGAGGCUUUUUGCUGGUUUCGCACAGAAGCGAGCUCCUCCUAAAUGGAUUAGUGGGGUCUGCUUUGCCGAUCCUUGACGUGAUAAGAUGUUUCUACGUCUUGGGUUUGGCACCGCACCCGCUUCUAACCGUCUCAUCGACAAUGAUGGCGUUCCGGUCACCACCGUUUCAUCGGUGGGAGGCUUGACCCACCAAAAAAACCUUGACCUCAAAUCGGGUGAGACUACCCGCUGAACUUAA